UAGGUUUUCAGAUGGAUUGUUUCCACAUCUUAAUGGGCUAACAAUGCGGAAACCCUUCAAGGCUUCAAUGAAGAAAGUGGCUUUCCACAUAUUGAGUCUGAUAAGGUUGGCUACGCAUAUGGUGUGAUGCUGUAUCAGUUUUUCAACCUUUUGUUCACUACGAAGACGAAAAUGCUUUAACUCCAUUUCCUGUGCAAACAGGGAUAUAAUUAUCCUAAAUGUUGAUGUUUGGUUGGCCCAGUUAGCUUAGAAUUCUUGCUUCAAGGCAGAUAUUUUGAGCUCUUUAAAAAUAAGAGUUUUCUUGAGAACU